AAGUCGUAACAAGGUUUCCGUAGGUGAACCUGCGGAAGGAUCAUUACAGUAUGAAUAGAAGGAUGGUGCUGGCCCUUAUAAUAUGGGGCAUGUGCACGCCUUCAACUUCAAUCCACAUACACCUGUGCACCGCGGACGAGUUUGGACUCCACUGAAUUUCGUUUCAGUGAGUCGUUUCUUGAGACAGCGUCUCAAGGAACUGAGUCUGACUCCGUCUAUAUCUCACUACACUAAUGCCUGUAUAAAAAUGCAUGUCUUUUGGCUCUACGGAGCUUUAAAAACAAAAUACAACUUUCAACAACGGAUCUCUUGGCUUCC
rnacentral:misc_RNA from 1 species